rnacentral:rRNA from 1 species
GACGUAGGGCGCGAGCGUUGUCCGGAUUGAUUGGGCGUAAAGAGCUCGUAGGCGGCUCGUUGCGUCGGCUGUGAAAACCCGCAGCUCAACUGUGGGCCUGCAGCUGAUACGGGCGGGCUGGAGUUCGGUAGGGGAGACUGGAAUUCCUGGUGUAGCGGUGAAAUGCGCAGAUAUCAGGAGGAACACCGGUGGCGAAGGCGGGUCUCUGGGCCGAUACUGACGCUGAGGCGCGAAAGCUAGGGGAGCAAACGGG